UUCCCUCCACCUGUACCAAACAUUGGGGAUGUAGUUUACAUGGUUAAAACAUAAGUUUUGCAAACUUAAGUACAGG
rnacentral:tRNA from 1 species